GAGAAUUUACCCUUUAGUGAAGAAUACCUCUAGAGAAAUCAGGGUUAAUACUGCAUACGUCCCUACGGGGAGAAAGGUGGCCUCUUUGCUGCCGCUAAAGGAUAAGCUUGCGUACUAUUAGCUAGUUGGUGAGGUAAAGGCUCACCAAGGCGAUGAUGGUUAGCCGGCCUGAGAGGGUGUACGGCCACACUGGAACUUAGACACGGUCCAGACUCCUACGGGAGGCAGCAGUGAGGAAUAUUGCGCAAUGGGCGAAAGCCUGACGCAGCGACGCCGCGUGGAGGAUGAAGGUCUUCGGAUUGUAAACUCCUGUUAAGUGGGAAGAAAGACCUAUUUCUAAUACAGAUAGGGGAUGACGGUACCAUUAGAGAAAGCACCGGCUAACUUCGUG
rnacentral:rRNA from 1 species